AAGGCGCUGUGCACAUAUAGACGAAACGAGGUCAGGUUGAAUUGAGAUUCCGGGCGUUCACCAAAUUCAAUUUCGAAAACCCUAACCCUAAAACACACCUAAUUGAUUGAUUCUGAAAUAGAUUGAAUUGGUUUGAUAGUUGAAAGAUCAGAUCUUCUCUCGCUGCUUAAUUUGACGGAAUGGGGAAGAAGAAGAAGAGAGGGGCGGUGGAUAAGGUGUGGUGCUACUACUGCGACAGGGAGUUUGAAGACGAGAAGAUAUUGGUGCAGCACCAGAAAGCCAAGCACUUCAAGUGCCAUGUCUGCCACAAGAAGCUCUCCACCGCCGGCGGAAUGGCCAUCCAUGUGCUCCAGGUUCACAAGGAACAAGUCACCAAAGUCCCUAAUGCGAAACCUGGAAGAGAAUCUACAGAGAUUGAGAUAUAUGGAAUGCAAGGAAUUCCAGCUGAUGUCCUGGCUUCACAUUAUGGAGAGGAAGAUGAAGAGAACCCUUCAAAAGCAGCUAAAAUUGAUCUACCAAUCUCCCAAAUAGGCAGUGGUGUGAUACCUCGAUCACUAGGGGUUGGAUAUCCUCCACAGCCUUUACCUCCGAAUUACAAUCCCAGAAUACCUGGGCCACCCGGUAGUUGGCAAAUUUCACCUCGUCCACAACCUUGGUAUCCUCAGCACCCAACUGUUUCGGUUCCACUACCUGGGCAAGCAGGAUUGCCUCAACAGCCUUUGUUUCCUGUGCACAAUAUUCAGACUCCUGUUCCAUCUACAGCACCCCCUGGGCUUCAACCAAUAUUACCAAUCACUCCUCCGGGGAUGCCUGCAACAGCACCUCCUGUUCCUGUUUCUCAACCUCUAUUUCCUGUCGUUCCAAACAGUAAUAUACCUCCCCAGAGUUCCCCAUUUUCUGCUCCUAUACCUUCAAUGAGCCUGCCUUUAAACUCUUCUUCAGACAUAAAGAGUGCAGAACCUCUCUUUGGUGGCACUUUGGCAACCAAUCAUUACGGAAUUCCAGGAACCCCAGCCAUACCUCUUGCAAAUUCACACUCCUAUGCAUCUGGUCCAAAUACUGGAGGUCCGUCUAUAGGGCCACCUCCAGUGAUCGCAAACAAAGCCCCAGCUACACAACCCGCAACUAAUGAGGUCUACUUAGUUUGGGAUGACGAGGCUAUGUCUAUGGAGGAAAGAAGAUUGUCCUUAUUGAAGUAUCAGGUGCAUGACGAGAAUAGCCAGGUAAGUCAUCAACCUAUAAAAUAAUAUCUUCAUUCUGUAUAUAGGAUUUGUGUUAGUCAAAUAUCCUGGUGGCUAGACUUAUGCUGCCUGUGGUUUUCCAGUGCACAUAUUUACUCUUUUUUCGCAUAGAUAAAGGGUAUUUCUAUAUGGCUUUAAUUAUAUAUCCAAAUAAAGACACAUAAAACAUCUUCGCAAUAUGGCUAUGUAUAUUACUGCUUUCCAACCCCAUUCAUGUGAUGGGCUUUUUUUGUCGUUCUUGGCCACUGUCCCGCUUGGCAAGCAAUCCUGCCGUUUUUGUGGUCAACGAAGGUUCAAGUCAAGUAGGUACUUUCAAUUUCUUUGCUAAUAAUUAGUUCUGUUAGCAUGCUGCAAUCUUUCGAGGAUCUCCCCACUAGCUCCCUGCAAGGCUAAGAACACAAGCGUGUAUGUAUUUACUAUUUGGAAAUAAAUUUCAAAUUUUGACUUCUACCUAUGGUUGCCUGAUAACUAAGUGUUGGGUUUGGGUGGAACAACCAUUACCCAACAUAUUUUUUCCCUUACAUUUCUUCAAUCUUCAUACACUAUAUAUUUUAGAUCGAACGUGAAUUCAGUGGGCCAAGGCAGCUCCUUUUGCGAAGUUUGUAUGAGUUCAAUCGAUGCAGCCAUUGACAGAAGGAUAUCUGAGAGCAGGCUCGCUGGUCGGAUGGCAUUUUAGAGCAUACAAACUGGGAUCAACAGCAGGAGGGGAACAUUUCUCUAUAGAUCACAACACAACUUAUUACUCAGAGCCUCUAACUGGUGCUGCUUGAUGCAAUUCUUUCUAUUUAAAUGUUGUAUCUUUUAGGAUAAAGGUGUUAGGAUUACUAUAAUUUAACAGAUAAUGGUCAUUUUUUUUUCUAUUUUUUUCGAGUUUUUAUCAUCUGGAUUGAUUUUUUAGAUUGUAGAAGUUACAAACCAAGUCACUUGGCUUUAAAAGGGUUAAUGCACUUUGAAUACUUAUUUUUUUGACAAAA